rnacentral:rRNA from 1 species
AUAAGGUAUCUUACUCUGAAUACAUAGGGGUA